UACGGAGGGGGCUAGCGUUGUUCGGACUUACUGGGCGUAAAGCGCACGUAGGCGGAUCGUUAAGUCGGGGGUGAAAUCCUGGAGCUCAACUCCAGAACUGCCUUUGAUACUGAAGAUCUUGAGUUCGGGAGAGGUGAGUGGAACUGCGAGUGUAGAGGUGAAAUUCGUAGAUAUUCGCAAGAACACCAGUGGCGAAGGCGGCUCACUGGCCCGAUACUGACGCUGAGGCACGAAAGCGUGGGGAGCAAACAGGG
rnacentral:rRNA from 1 species